rnacentral:rRNA from 1 species
UAGGGAAUCUUCUUUUNAAUGGACGGAAGUCUGACCGAGCAACGCCGCGUGAGUGAAGAAGGUUUUCGGAUCGUAAAGCUCUGUUGUUAGAGAAGAACGUUGGUAGGAGUGGAAAAUCUACCAAGUGACGGUAACUAACCAGAAAGGGACGGCUAACUACGUGCCAGCAGCCGCGGUAAUACGUAGGUCCCGAGCGUUGUCCGGAUUUAUUGGGCGUAAAGCGAGCGCAGGCGGUUCUUUAAGUCUGAAGUUAAAGGCAGUGGCUUAACCAUUGUACGCUUUGGAAACUGGAGGACUUGAGUGCAGAAGGGGAGAGUGGAAUUCCAUGUGUAGCGGUGAAAUGCGUAGAUAUAUGGAGGAACACCGGUGGCGAAAGCGGCUCUCUGGUCUGUAACUGACGCUGAGGCUCGAAAGCGUGGGGAGCAAACAGGAUUAGAUACCCUGGUAGUCCACGCCGUAAACGAUGAGUGCUAGGUGUUAGGCCCUUUCCGGGGCUUAGUGCCGCAGCUAACGCAUUAAAGCACUCCGCCUGGGGGAGUACGACCGCAAGGUUGA